GUGAGUCAUCGAAUCUUUGAACGCACAUUGCGCUCUCUGGUAUUCCGGGGAGCAUGCUCGUUUCAGAAUCAUUAAACCCUCAAAAGCCCUCAAAUUCUUAUGGAUCUGCGGAUGCUUUUGGAUCUUGGACCUCCUUUUGCUGCAAAGCAAAUGGUCUUAAAUGAAGAUUGUGUUUUCAUCUUGCCCGCUUGGCAGAUGUCUCAAGUGCAACAGAUGUACUCCAUUUUGUUACACAUCUUGGGCUAUCUGACAGGAAGGUGAUGACGGAUACAAAUACCACCAUAUUCACAAGGAUCUGGG
rnacentral:misc_RNA from 1 species